GAUGAAGAACGUAUUGAAAUGCGAUAAGUAGUGUGAAUUGCAGAAUUCAGUGAAUCAUCGAAUCUUUGAACGCACAUUGCGCCCUUUGGUAUUCCUUAGGGCAUGCCUGUUCGAGCGUCAUUUAAACCUUCAAGCUCAGCUUGGUGUUGGGUGACUGUCCGCUUCACCGCGGACUCGCCUCAAAAUUAUUGGCGGCCGGUACAUUGGCUUCGAGCGCAGCAGAAACGCGAACUCGGGCCCGUCGUAUUGGCUCCCAGAAGCUAUCUUCACAAUUUUGACCUCGGAUCAGGUAGGGAUACCCGCUGAACUUAAGCAUAUCAAUAAGCGGAGGA
rnacentral:misc_RNA from 1 species